AAGACCUUACGCUUUUGGAGCGGCCGAUGUCUGAUUAGCUUGUUGGUGAGGUAAAGGCUUACCAAGGCUUCGAUCAGUAGCUGGUCUGAGAGGACGACCAGCCACACUGGGACUGAGACACGGCCCAGACUCCUACGGGAGGCAGCAGUGGGGAAUUUUGGACAAUGGGGGAAACCCUGAUCCAGCCAUGCCGCGUGAGUGAAGAAGGCCUUCGGGUUGUAAAGCUCUUUCAGCCGGAACGAAACGGUUACGGUUAAUACCCGUGACUACUGACGGUACCGGAAGAAGAAGCACCGGCUAACUACGUGCCAGCAGCCGCGGUAAUACGUAGGGUGCAAGCGUUAAUCGGAAUUACUGGGCGUAAAGCGUGCGCAGGUGGUUUUGUAAGUCAGAUGUGAAAUCCCCGGGCUUAACCUGGGAACU
rnacentral:rRNA from 1 species